AAGGCCGGCAGCAGGGACUCCUUCCUCUGUCUUUUGAUACUGCUGCUGGAAAAAGAAAACAAAAUAAUACAUCUAGAGAGGCCUUAAAGAUCCUAUAAUCCAAACCUUAUUUAUACAGAUUAAGAGGCCAAGACCCAAGGAGAUGAAUGGGUUAGUGGUUGAUCUGGCAUCACACUCUUCUUACCGGCUUAAGACUGAAUACCACCAAUCUUCUGUAUUAUGCAUUUUAUUUAUAUCAAAAACAAGAACUAAGAGGAAAAUUAUGUGUCUCUUUUUCAAGGAAGAAAAGAUGAUAUGCAGCACCCUUCUUAAGGAAUCAAAUACACUUAAUUAAAAGAUGCCAGAUUCCAAUA
rnacentral:lncRNA from 1 species